rnacentral:rRNA from 1 species
CAGCAGCCGCGGGAAUACGUAGGUGACGAGCGUUGUCCGGAAUUAUUGGGCGCAAAGGGAGCGCAGGCGGUUGGAAUAGUCUGAUGUGAAAGCCCACGGCUUAACCGUGGAAGGUCAUUGGAAACUGUCCAACUUGAAUGCAGAAGAGGAAAGUGGAAUUCCAUGUGUAGCGGUGAAAUGCGUAGAUAUAUGGAGGAACACCAGUGGCGAAGGCGACUUUCUGGUCUGUAAUUGACGCUGAGGCUCGAAAGCGUGGGUAGCGAACAGGAUUAGAUACCCCUGUAGUCCCUGUCUCUUAUAC